CCCUUAGAUGCUCUGGGCCGCACGCGCGCUACACUGGUCGAUGCAACGAGUUUCUUUCCUUGGCCGACAGGCCUGGGCAAUCUUUGAACAUCGAUCGUGAUCGGGAUAGAUUCUUGUAAUUUUUGAUCUUAAACGAGGAAUUCCUAGUAAACGCAAGUCAUCAGCUUGCAUUGAUUACGUCCCUGCCCUUUGUACACACCGCCCGUCGCACCUACCGAUUGAAUGGUCCAGUGAAAUCUCCGGACUGGCGUGAGUCGGAGCAAUCUGACAAACGCCGGAAAGUUGAUUAAACCUUACCAUUUAGAGGAAGGUGAAGUCGUANCA
rnacentral:rRNA from 1 species